rnacentral:rRNA from 1 species
AGGAUUGAAAUGGGCGGAGCCUGAUGCAGCAACGCCGCGUGCGGGAUGACGGCCUUCGGGUUGUAAACCGCUUUCGCCUGUGACGAAGCGUGAGUGACGGUAAUGGGUAAAGAAGCACCGGCUAACUACGUGCCAGCAGCCGCGGUGAUACGUAGGGUGCGAGCGUUGUCCGGAUUUAUUGGGCGUAAAGGGCUCGUAGGUGGUUGAUCGCGUCGGAAGUGUAAUCUUGGGGCUUAACCCUGAGCGUGCUUUCGAUACGGGUUGACUUGAGGAAGGUAGGGGAGAAUGGAAUUCCUGGUGGAGCGGUGGAAUGCGCAGAUAUCAGGAGGAACACCAGUGGCGAAGGCGGUUCUCUGGGCCUUUCCUGACGCUGAGGAGCGAAAGCGUGGGGAGCGAACAGGAUUAGAUAC